UACGGGGGGGGCAAGCGUUGUUCGGAAUUACUGGGCGUAUAGGGCUCGUAGGCGGCCAACUAAGUCAGACGUGAAAUCCCUCGGCUUAACCGGGGAACUGCGUCUGAUACUGGAUGGCUAGAGUUUGGGAGAGGGAUGCGGAAUUCCAGGUGUAGCGGUGAAAUGCGUAGAUAUCUGGAGGAACACCUGUGGCGAAAGCGGCUCACUGGACCGCAACUGACGCUGAGGCGCGAAAGCUAGGGGAGCAAACAGG
rnacentral:rRNA from 1 species